rnacentral:rRNA from 1 species
AUGCGUCCAACAACCAAUCUCUUGCUCACACUCAUCACCAUAAGCAUAUUUCCAUUCUUCACAAAUGGCACACUACAACCCCAGCAUCAGCAUGCCCAUGGCGGCGGCUGCAACCCUGACGAGAGGGCCGCCUUGCUCUCCUUCAAAGAGGGCAUUACAAGCAACAACACCAACCUCCUCGCCUCGUGGAAAGGACAGGACUGCUGCCGGUGGAGAGGCGUCAGCUGCUGCAACCAAACAGGCCAUGUCAUCAAGCUUCACCUUCGCAAUCCGAAUGUGACGCUCGACGCCUAUGGCUACGAUCAUGCAUGUGCUAGUGCCAGUGCUUUGUUCGGCGAGAUAAGUCCAUCUCUGCUUUCCUUGAAGCAUCUAAAGCACCUCGACCUCAGCAUGAACUGUUUACUUGGGCCAAAUAGCCAAAUUCCUCAUUUGCUAGGAUCCAUGGGAAACUUGAGAUACCUUAACCUCUCUGGCAUACCAUUUACCGGUAGGGUGCCUUCUCAUCUUGGUAAUCUGUCUAAGAUGCAGUAUCUUGACCUUGGCCAAGCUGGUGAUUAUUCUGAUAUGUAUUCAAUGGAUAUCACCUGGUUAACAAAGCUACCUUUCCUAAAGUUCCUUGGCAUGAGUGGAGUAAAUCUCUCAGGCAUAGCUGACUGGCCUCAUACCCUGAAUAUGAUUCCACCUCUGAGGGUUAUUGAUCUUUCUUACUGUCUUCUUGAUAGUGCAAACCAAUCACUUCUGCACCUUAAUCUCACAAAACUUGAGAAGCUUGACCUCUCCUGGAAUUUCUUUAAGCAUUCACUUGGAUCUGGCUGGUUUUGGAAAGUGACCAGCCUCAAGUACCUUCAUCUUGAGUGGAACUUACUAUUCGGCAAGUUCCCUGACACACUAGGAAACAUGACGUACCUUCGAGUCCUUGAUAUUUCAUAUAAUGGGAACCCAGACAUGAUGAUGACAGGGAACAUUAAGAAACUUUGCAGUUUGGAAAUCCUUGACCUCUCUGGUAAUAGGAUAAAUGGAGACAUAGAAUCCUUGUUUGUGGAGAGUUUGCCGCAAUGCACACGGAAAAACUUGCAGAAGCUGGAUUUAAGUUACAACAAUUUCACUGGAACUCUACCAAAUAUUGUUAGUGACUUCAGCAAGUUGAGCAUACUAAGCCUCUCCAAUAACAACCUUGUUGGACCUAUACCAGCACAACUUGGCAAUUUGACAUGUCUGACUUCUUUGGACCUCUUCUGGAAUCACCUGAAUGGAAGUAUACCACCUGAACUCGGUGCUCUUACCACUUUAACCUCUUUGGACCUAAGCAUGAACGACCUCACCGGGAGUAUACCGGCCGAACUUGGGAAUUUGAGGUAUUUGUCUGAACUUUGCCUCUCAGAUAACAACAUCACUGCUCCUAUACCACCAGAGCUUAUGAAUUCAACUAGCCUAACCCAUCUAGACCUGUCCAGCAAUCAUCUCAAUGGAAGUGUACCCACUGAAAUAGGUUCUCUUAAUAAUCUGAUUUAUCUGUACCUAAGCAACAAUAGGUUUACUGGUGUGAUCACGGAAGAAAAUUUUGCAAAUCUAACAAGUUUAAAGGAUAUAGACUUGUCUUUCAACAAUUUGAAGAUUGUACUGAAUUCAGAUUGGCGUGCUCCCUUUACAUUGGAGUUUGCAUCGUUUGCAUCUUGCCAGAUGGGUCCUCUGUUUCCACCUGGGCUUCAGCGGCUGAAAACCAAUGCACUUGACAUUUCAAACACCACUCUGAAGGGCGAGAUUCCUGAUUGGUUUUGGUCCACAUUUUCAAAUGCCACAUAUCUGGAUAUCUCUAACAACCAAAUAAGUGGCAGCUUGCCAGCACAUAUGCAUAGCAUGGCUUUUGAAAAACUCCACCUUGGUUCGAACCGGCUUACUGGACCAAUACCUACAUUGCCAACAAAUAUCACCCUGUUAGACAUCUCCAACAAUACAUUUUCAGAAACAAUACCAUCAAACCUUGGAGCAUCACGACUUGAAAUAUUGAGUAUGCAUUCAAAUCAAAUUGGUCGCUACAUUCCAGAAUCUAUUUGCAAAUUGGAACAACUGUUGUAUCUGGAUUUGUCAAACAAUAUUUUAGAGGGUGAGGUUCCCCACUGUUUUCACUUCUACAAAAUAGAACAUCUUAUACUCAGCAACAACAGUUUAUCAGGAAAAAUCCCAGCAUUUUUGCAGAAUAACACAGGUCUGCAAUUCUUGGAUGUGUCAUGGAAUAGGUUCUCUGGAAGAUUACCUACAUGGAUAGGAAACCUGGUCAAUUUACGUUUUCUCGUACUGAGCCACAAUAUAUUUUCUGAUAAUAUUCCAGUCGACAUAACAAAGCUGGGGCAUCUUCAAUACUUGGAUCUAUCACGCAACAACUUUUCUGGUGGAAUACCUUGGCAUAUGUCGAACCUAACAUUUAUGUCAACAUUACAAUCAAUGUAUAUGGUUGAGGUUACUGAAUAUGAUACCACCAGACAUCACUUCGCUUGCUGCACUAAUGAAUUUGAAUUUAUCAUCGAACCAAUUGAGUGGACAAAUUCCAAGCAUGAUUGGCGCCAUGCAGUCACUGGUAUCUCUCGAUCUCUCUCAGAACAAGCUUUCCGGUGA